AUCCCAUGAUGAGGACACUUACAAAGUAACUCCUUGAAUCGCUCCCAAGCCUCAUACAAGGACUCGUCAUCCAAUUCUUGGAAAGUUGUAAUCUUGUUCCUCAACUU
rnacentral:snoRNA from 1 species